rnacentral:rRNA from 1 species
UUGAACGCUGGCGGCAGGCCUCACACAUGCAAGUCGCACGGUAACAGGAAGAAGCUUGCUUCUUUGCUGACGAGUGGCGGACGGGUGAGUAAUGUCUGGGAAACUGCCUGAUGGAGGGGGAUAACUACUGGAAACGGUAGCUAAUACCGCAUAACGUCGCAAGACCAAAGAGGGGGACCUUCGGGCCUCUUGCCAUCGGAUGUGCCCAGAUGGGAUUAGCUAGUAGGUGGGGUAACGGCUCACCUAAGCGACGAUCCCUAGCUGGUCUGAGAGGAUGACCAGCCACACUGGAACUGAGACACGGUCCAGACUCCUACGGGAGGCAGCAGUGGGGAAUAUUGCACAAUGGGCGCAAGCCUGAUGCAGCCAUGCCGCGUGUAUGAAGAAGGCCUUCGGGUUGUAAAGUACUUUCAGCGGGGAGGAAGGGAGUAAAGUUAAUACCUUUGCUCAUUGACGUUACCCGCAGAAGAAGCACCGGCUAACUCCGUG